UUUCAGGGUCCAUUUAAAGAUAAAAUUAUCUCACUAUAAACGGAGCCAGUGGCGAAAAUUGUAAAUUCUUUCUUUGAAUCAUCCCCAUUCCAAUAAAUAAUGGCACAAGGCAAGGUUGUCCAUUGGCUCCAUUACUUUACAUCUUAUCUCUUGAGCCACUGGCUAUUAUUAUUAGGGAGAACAAAGAAAUACAUGAUAUUAAAUCAGCUGAUCGUGAGUACAAAAUCUCCCUAUUUGCUGAUGAUUUGCUCUUGUCCCUGGUGAAGCCCUCAAUCUCUAUUCCAGAGGUUAUAAAAAAAC